rnacentral:rRNA from 1 species
CCUUGGUUCUCAAGCCCAAUUGGACCAACACCAAUCCCAUCUCGAACUUGGUUGUUAAACGGUUGGGGGGUGGAAGCUACUAUACGGGAGCCCGUAUGGGAACUUACACCUAGUGCCAGGG